AUGGAGGUAGAGGAUCUCACCGGCGAUGGUCGGACCUUUAAGGCCGAUUUCACGACCACUGGCUUCCAGCAGCUCCGCGAGCGUCUGCGGGGAAGCUGCGUGAGUUUGUGGAUGACUACACCAACGCCAUCAUCCUGGAUUACGUUAUGGUCUUGCUCCAAAAUACAAGGCGCAAAGAUGAGGCCAUCAAGGAGCUAGAUUUAUUUCUGGGAAAGGAUAGUGCUACCUUUAUAUCUUGGUUGUGGGAUCAUUUAUCUUUAAAUUUGCACCUUUAUGUGCAAACUCAAGAAGAAGACCAAGUGGAUAAUAAGGAUGAUGGAACCCCAAAUGAAUUACCUGGAGGAGAAAAAUCAUCAGAGUUGCACUCAAGGAGCAAAGGUCAAACUCAUCCUGAGCGAACAAUUGAAUCAAGUACAACAAGAAGUCAGACUAAAAGGGAUUGGAAAGGAAUUGGUCGGGAGGCUAAUGAAAACUUUUCAGUUCGAAGUGUACUGACGAAUAUUUUGCAUGAAGAGGAGAAAAAGUCUCAAAAGAUUAAUGAAAUACGGCAACCAACAUCAUCUAAUCAACGGAAUGGCAAAAGGCGUGAUAGGGAUGAUGAACUACAACAGAUAAAGACAGACUUGCCUUUGCGUCGUGAUGUUGGUGCCUCCUACCGUCUUCUCAAGUUUGCUAUUCGAGAUGUUGUGGAAGUUGUAUAACACACCAAUAGCUUCGCAAAACCAUUUUCUAAGAUCUUACCUUUUGUGGUUCCCACAUCAUCUGUGGAGAACCAUCAUGGUAAAAUAACAAAAACAUCGAUAGAGUGUCAAUUGUCUGACAGAAAGAUAGAAAGAACUAGACAAAUUUUACAAAUACAUGGAGCUGAUUUAGCUCUUAUAGCUACUGCAAAUUCUACAAAAGUUAGAUCUAGUGGAAGCGUGUUCAGUCGAUUAGGCCAAGGGAAUGUUCUGAAUCAGAUAUCCAGUUCUUGUGAACAGAUAGAUUAUGAAGAUAUUAAACCAACUAUAACUAUUGAUGAUGAUGUUUCAGAUCAAUAUGAUAACGAUGAUGAGAUAUCUAGAGACCUAACAAUAGAAGACGAGGAAGUUGAAAUGAAUGUUGAUUUUGCAUCCAAUGAUGAUAUUAAUAAAGAUGAUGGAAUUACUAGAUAUGAAAGUUCUGAUUCACAACUAGGCGCUUACUCUUCAGUUGUGGAGAAGAAAGAUAUUUUCAUGAAACAAAGUGUUGAACCAAAAAAAAGUAUGAUGAGACACUCAUGCUUGAUUAAGGAGGAGCAGCCAGGUUCCUCAUCAUCAAUAAGUAUGAGCAAAACCGUGGUUGUCCCAGUUAAUGCCAACACCAUGGAACCUUCCAAUUAUGAAACACCAAAAGAUGUUCAUGUUGUAGAGAAAACAGACAUCACGCCUAUGAAUAUUAGUCUUACUUCUCUGACUAGUAAUAUCAAUAAACUUACUCAUGGAGAAGUCCAAAAGGAUUCACAAAGACCUACAAUCGCAACAUCUGUUAUGAGUCCGUAUAGCACUGCACAUCCAACUGAGAACGCAAACUCUAGAACUCUCUAUGUUAGUAAUGUUCAUUUUGGUGCUACCAAAGACGCAUUAUCUCGCCAUUUCAACCAGUUUGGCGCGGUGCUCAGAGUAAUCAUUGUAACUAAUGCAGCAACAAGGCAGCCAACAGGAUCUGCCUACGUAGAGUUUUUACACAGAGACUCAGCUGAACGUGCUAUGUCAUUGAAUGGAACAUCAUUUAUGGCAUGCCUUCUCAAGGUUGUCAAAUGGAGUUCUCAUGAAGCUGCACAUUUUGGUGGUUGGCCUAGUGGUAGGCGAUCAAUAAUGUAUUCCUGGCAUAGUAGGAUGGUAUACCCAAGGGGUGUUCCUAGUAGUAUCUUCAGAGGGCGUGCUCCAAUAAAAGUUGGUGCUAGAAGCUUACAGUGGAGACGGGAGCCUUCAAUUGCUGAUUCAACUACAGGUGCUAAGCCUGGCAUGACUGUGGAACUAUCUCCUACUGAGCAGGUUCUUCCUCCUACCACAUAG